AGUUGUGGAAUCUCCUUCUCUGGAGAUAUUCAAGACUGGCCUGAUGUCUAGCUGUGAGACCUAUCAUAGGGUACCUGAUUUAGCAGGGGGGCUGGACUCGAUGAUCUCUUGAGGUCCCUUCCAACCCCUGCAAUUCUGUGAUUCUGCAGUUCUGUAACUUUAAGACAAUAAUAAUUUCACAAAUAUAAAUACAAUGGAUGCUUUGAAAGUAAUGCCUCCUAUUUUAUUAUGUUGGCCCAUGACAUCAGAGGCAGAUGUUGGUGAUAACUCACUAGAGGCUGACCCUUCCCACCAGCGUUACGUUUUGUUGCCACGAGACAGAUGGAAGUAGAGGGGCACUCUGACAAAAUGGUGUCUGAAGUGUGUGUGGAGCAAAGGGGUGGAACUGAAUUCCUGCAUGAGGAAAAAAUGGCACCUAUUGACAUUUAGCAAUGCUUGCUGAAUGUUUAUGAAGGUCAAAGAGUGGAUGUGAGUACAGUGAGGCAGAGGGUGGUGCACUUCAGCGGUGACAACAGCAACAUGAAAGACAAGCCACACUUGGUUAGAAAUGCAGAGCUGUCACACCAUGAAAUGAAGAGUUUCAAUCAACAGAUGUGCAAUCAAUCAAUUAAUGGUGGUGACUUUGUUAAAAAAUAGUGUUUUGUAGCUGAGAAUUUGCUCUAUCAAAUAGUGUUAUUGUGCUCUUUGCAUUUGUUGUGCUUUCCAUGGAGGUAAAUAGGAAUCAUUUUUUUUGAAAUGAUGUACAUAUGUAUAUACCUAAAAGUUGUAUCACGUAUCUUUUGAAAUAACACCUGUUAUUCAUAUAUGAAAGUGAACAUACUGCUUCUUGUGUGGAAACUUGCCAUGUUUAUUAGCUAAUUCCAAACUGAAUAUUUACAAUUCCAUAUGAAUAAGGAAAACUGAACUAUGGCAUUUAUUACAUUAUUUUUCCAUAGCUAUUUGAGCAACUUUCAACUUUUAUUGUAAAGUAGGAGAGUGAGACAAAAUUGAAGAAGACUUCAGCUGUUAAAAGUGUUCGAGGCCCAUUGAGCAGGAACUACACUGCUGAGUAAUGCAGACAAGAUAAUGAACUGGAGAUAAAUGAUCCCAAGCAGGCCCCUGCUGAGUGCCAGGAGAAUAUGUUUGUACGGUAGAUUUAUUAUCUUAACAUCUUUUUGCAGUGACCUCCAAUUUAGAUAAAAUACCUGUAACAUUAAUAAUCUGUGUGGGUUUUUUGUAACUAAAGGAAAAUUGUUUUGUUAUUUAUCUAGAGCAGCUGUGAAUAUUGUCACAUUGAGAAUGUAAAACUGGUUUGCUAAAUUCUUCUAUCAGGCUCAGAAAUAUGCACCAUGGUCAAAGGAUAUCUGUAAGACCCACAGUACCAUUAUCUUUUUGCUAACAUGUAUUUUUCUGCUAGAGGUCCAGAAAGCAGCAGACAGCUACCUCCUUCAUGGAUGCCUUUUCAGCUUUCUGAUGAAAACCAUAAGCAUUUUACAAUCAGCUUUGUAUUUCUACAAUCAGCAAUGAAGAAGUUGCCAAAAUGUAAUAAGGACAUAAAACUGUGAGAGAGUAUCCGAAGAACUAUUACGAAUAUGGUGAAAGAUCUAGAGGCAGGAUACAUAAGAAGCAGCUGAGGUCCCAUUGUUUAUUCACCCCAGAGCAGAGGUGGCUGAGGGGGGGCCUCAUGGUGGCCUACAGCUCGUCAUGAGGGGAGUGGAGGAGCAGUGCUGAGCUCUGCUCUCUGGUGACAGCGGCAGGGCCCAAGAGAACAGCAUGGAGCUGUGUCAAGGGAAGUUCGGAUUGGGUGUUAGGGAAAAGUUCUUCACUAGAGGGUGGUGGGCACAGAACAAGCUCCUCAGGGCAGCUGUCAUGGCAUCGAGUUGCGGGAGUUCAGGGAGUGUUGUCCCAGGCCGGUCCUGGAAGGUUGUGGUGACUUUUCCCAAGGUAAAGUACUGUUAAACGUGUCAUGAACCUGAACCCAGAGAAAGAAUGCAUCCUCAGCAUGUUUGCAGAUCAUACAAAAUGAGAGGAAUGGCUGACAGGCAGAGGACCACGCUGCCAUCCAAAGGAACUUUGACAGACUGAAGAAAUGAACUGUCAGGAGCGUCCUGACAUUCAAAAAAGGGGUGAUGCAAAAUUUUGCCACUGGGAAGGAAUAACCCCAUACACUAGUACACAUUGGGGGCCAUUCACCUGGAAGUGAGCUCUGAAGAAGGGGAUUCUGUUGAACACCAGGUGAACAUAAGCUAACAGCCAUCAGAGCUACAACAAGCAAAGCACUGCCAGCAGACAGAGGCAACCCUUCCCAUCUGUACAGCACUGGUGAGACGCAUCCAGAGUGCAAUGUCUAGUGCUGAGCACCCAAGUACAGAAAAGUUAUGGACAUACCAGUGUGAACCCAGCAAAGGGCCACAAGGAUGGAGCACCUUUCCUACAAGGAGAGUCUGAGGCAACUGUGACUGUUCAACCUGGAAAACAGAAGGCUCAGGGGAUGUUAUCAGUGUGCAUAAAUACCUGAUGGGAGGGAAUUAAGAAGAGGGAAAAAAAUUCUUCUUAGGAAUGCCCACAGACAGGACAAGCGGUAGUGAUACCACCUAUGAAAUUCCUUCUGAACACAAGGGAUCAAUUUUUACUGUGUGAGUGGUCAACACUGGCACAGGUUUCACUGGGACCCUAUGGAGUCUCUGUCCGGUGAGACGAUGAAACUGACUGGACACAGCCCUGGGCAACGUGCCACAGCUGACUCUUUUUAAGCAGGUGGUAGAUCUAAGGAAGUCCUUUCUUGCCUCCGCUGUUCUGUGAAUCUGUCAUUCUGAGAAGUAUCUGGAAAAGGCAGGAACAACACUCUUGGCCUAACUGAUAAGUAGUGCGUAUGUAUUUGUGUUGUUAAUGUUUUCUGAAGAUGAAGCUUAGCCACUAAUUUCUCUAGGGAGUAAUAAUAGAGGUAUAUGUGAGGGUCUGGUCUGCUGGUGAGAAAGCGAGAAAAGGAAAAGCUGGAAAAAGGGGAUACAUUCUCAGUUCAUUUUUUGUUUAUUCUGCACAAGACCAUCACUGUUUUUCACACGCAUGACACACAUUUCAGUAAAUUAACGAUAUUCAACAAGUUCACAUGAACCUGUACAUACUGAACAAUUAAUAUAUUUUAGUAUUGAAAUGAGAUAGUGUUAUUUUAUGCAGCACUUAACAUGUAUUCAUAAAUAAUCAUGCAUACAAACAUAUUAAGUCACUUAGAACUGUAAUUAGUAAUUUUCAAGUCCUGGCAACCAUCAGAUUUCAAUUGGAAUAUACCGUUUGGCCUAUUUGGCCUUAAUAAAAUUUUCAAAGAAGGGGCAGCAUGUGCUUUUUAAUCUAUUUCUCGAUGGCUAGUAGUAAAUAAAUGAACAUGAGUUUGGUGGGUAUGACAAAUUAAUAUGCACACUGACAACUUAUAAACAUGGCAUUGCUUAGGGAAUUACAAUAUGAAUAUACACAAGCAAUUAUAUGUUUUAAAUGAUUUAUUUCAUUUUCUGAAUAAUAUACCACUGAAGUGGAAACUGAUAAAAAAGAGAAUACAAAUAAAAAUAUUAUAUCAACUUUUUACUGAACUUAUUAAAUGGAGGCCCUCUUAAUGAGGAAAUUAAUGAAUGAAGCAGCUCAUUAUGGAUAAGCAUUCCUUGUGGUCGUUAAGAAUUUGUCACCAUAGACCCGUCAUAGUCAGUUUAAUUAUGAUUAAUGUCUUAUCUUGAAUUCCAUCUCCAUUCAUAUCUGAGAAAUAAAUGCAAACCCUAUUAUGUGAUCAAAGUUCAUACAACAGGGUGAGCUGCUGAAGGCCUAAUAUUUUAUUCAUCUUCACAUUCAUAUUUAUCAUUUUUACAAGAAUGAAAGGCAAUAUUACAGUAUUUUUUUAAAUAUAUUAAAAACAUACAACCUCUUGUUCUUCCCAGAACCAGGAUCUUGCGUUCAGCACUUAACAUCUUAACAGCUUUUUCAGAUGCAGUUGCCACUAUUUGAUGUCAAUUUGAAUAAAAAGAAUGAUGAUUUUCAUCUCUGAGUUUUACUCUAGGACUCACUAGACUUCAUAACUUAAACUAUUUUUAUUUAGUCGAAGCUCUCAUAAGCACAAGUGCAAAUUGUACGUGAGCUGCAAUCAACGUUUAGUCUGUUACUUGUGUUGUUUUUACUCUGUGUAUGUACAUGAAGUGAGUAUAGGGAGUGUGUUUUAAUAAAUUUAUGUUUCCGAAGGCAUGUCAGUAGCCCAUAUUUCCCAUUAUUUGGUGCUACAUUUGAUCUGUUAAAUCUUGUCCACACUAGAAAUAGUGCAAACGCUGUGUGGGGCUAUGCUGUAUUGGUUACCUUAAUGUUAUGAAAUCAAUCCCUUAUUUUCUUAACGAAAAAAAAAAAAAAAAAAAAAAAAGGUCAGACUCUCAGUCUGCAUUUCCUCUUCCGUUUCUUGAGUACCUAGACUAAUUUCAGGCAAAUCUCUGUCUUGGUAUAGAAGCGGAGGUGUCAGAAGUAUGAAAUUUCUUCAAUGUUCAUGAAGAUUGGUAGCUGAGUGAACAACUGAGAUUCUGAUUAGAGGGGGAUUUGAGAACUAUAGGGUAGAAAUUUACAGUGUCCCAGAAUUAGUGUUUCCAAUGUUCACUGGUAACUUUAUCUUAAUGAGUUACAAAACAAAUUAUUUCGCCAUUUCUAAGAAAAAGACCAGGGCAAAAUAUGAUGUUUCUUAAAUAAUUUGAUACAAAGUGUCUUGAAGUAGGGGUAUUUCUUGAUGAAAGUUUCCAAAAAUGCUGAUUUUGGCACAUGGCAGUGUACUUAUUUAUUUUCUCCCACUGCACUAAAGGUAUGUUCCAGAAAUUAAUCAGCAUUACACAGCCUGGGCAUGAUAGACUUCGUCCUCUCUACCUGCAGAAGUUGGACAGAAGUUAGGCAGAUCUUCAGGAGUGGGGGACAUGGUUGCUGAGUGAGAAAAUGAGAUUUUCAGAAGAGAGGACUAUAUUCCAUCCUGUUCUUUUUUUCUGGAGCCUCUGAGAUGAUGCUGAGCUAAACCACAAAACCAGUGUUGUCACUGAUGGCCAUUCUCUGAUGGUUCCUGACAGUGGAAAUACUUCAAUUUAAAUUUGCAUCAAAAGAGAAUGUAUGGAGUAUUUUGGAAGCACUAACAAAUUUGUCAUCUAAUUCUCAUCCAUACUAACUUAAGCUAGCAGUGGUAUGAGCAUAAAAUUGCAGUCUUUUAGGCCCCUUGAAAGAGCCAGACUCUACUUGUAAGGAAAAGUAAAUGUGAAACUUCAUUGUCCUGUAAUUUCUAAACACUCUUAAAUUGUUACUGAAAUGAAAAUAACGACUGAGCAAAAUGACAUCACAUCAUUCACUUUAACCACGAUGACCUUUUGAAGUCAGUAUUUUUAAAAGUUGCCUUAUUUGUCUAACUGAAAUCUGCUUUACCUAAAUUUGUCUGUACUGGGUGAAUGUGAGUUUUAGUUACAAGCUCUUAUGCUGUUCUUCGUGAUUUUUAAUGUUUUCUUUGACAACACCAAAAUGUUAUGAGUUCUGUUCAACUAGAACAAAAUGUGUGUGAGUCAAGGAGGAAAAAAAAGCCUAAAAUCUAUUGAGAUCCAGGAAAACAUCCUUUCCCAUGCAUUUUUUUUCCAUAAAAAUGAAGAAUUUCUAUUUUCUUCACCAUUUGAAGUCCAUGUCGUCUCACUUCAAAUCCCAGGAAUAACCAGAGACAAGUUUACCUCAUCAUUGUGUAAGCCUAUGAAGUCAAUAUAAAUAGCCUAAGUGAAGGACUUGAAAGUCCACGUUUUAAUUAUUAUUUCCCAUAGGUUUUAUGGGGUCAUAUGUUUAAGAGUGUGUGAUGUUCUUAAAAGCUAUGUCUUUCAGCAGUCUCCACUACUGACUUCAUGAGUCUGCCCUUUAGAAAAGCACCCUCUAUCAUAUUUAUGAUGUUGUCUUACUUAAAAUGGAUACUAAUCCAAGUCUACCCAAGGUUUAACUGUACUCCUAUGAUUGUCAGAGCACUGAACCCCAUGGGAACAGAGUGGGCUUGAGAAGCAACUUCUGUGCUGCACUGAUACCUCACUUCCAGAUCACACUUAAGACUUGCCGCUCUCUUUCCCUCCGUAUUUCCAAGGUGCUCUUUCUACAGCUGUCUCUCUAUUCUCGUUCUUGUCCUCCUACUUCUUUGCUUAGUGUCUGCAUGGUGUUGUUGCUGACUCUGCUUAAAGAAGUUUAAACUCUCUUUUUAAAUUCUCUACACUUGUUUCCCCUCCCACUGAGUAUUACCACAUCUCAAGCUUCUCAUAGCUUGCCGCUUUCUUGUGUUACUCUCACUUGUUUUAAUUCUGGCAGCGCUCACAAGCACUUCUAUUUGUCAGAUUUUUAUGUAAUUAUUCCUCCUAUUCUCAAAAGCAAUUCCUUGUGUACGUGAUUCAAGCUGCCUGUUACAACCUGUAAGAACUCUACUUUAUGCAUAUUGCCUAUAAAACUUGUAUUGACUA